UGUGAAAUGUUGGGUUAAGUCCCGCAACGAGCGCAACCCUUAUCCUUUGUUGCCAGCGGUCCGGCCGGGAACUCAAAGGAGACUGCCAGUGAUAAACUGGAGGAAGGUGGGGAUGACGUCAAGUCAUCAUGGCCCUUACGACCAGGGCUACACACGUGCUACAAUGGCGCAUACAAAGAGAAGCGACCUCGCGAGAGCAAGCGGACCUCAUAAAGUGCGUCGUAGUCCGGAUUGGAGUCUGCAACUCGACUCCAUGAAGUCGGAAUCGCUAGUAAUCGUGGAUCAGAAUGCCACGGUGAAUACGUUCCCGGGCCUUGUACACACCGCCCGUCACACCAUGGGAGUGAGUUGCAAAAGAAGUAGGUAGCUUAACCUUCGGGAGGGCGCUUACCACUUUGUGAUUCAUGACUGGGGUGAAGUCGUAACAAGGUAACCGUAGGGGAACCUGCGGUUGGA
rnacentral:rRNA from 1 species